rnacentral:rRNA from 1 species
UACGAAGGGGGCUAGCGUUGUUCGGAUUUACUGGGCGUAAAGCGCACGUAGGCGGAUUGUUAAGUCAGGGGUGAAAUCCUGGAGCCUCAACUCCAGAACUGCCUUUGAUACUGGCAAUCUAGAGUCCGGAAGAGGUGAGUGGAACUCCUAGUGUAGAGGUGGAAUUCGUAGAUAUUAGGAAGAACACCAGUGGCGAAGGCGGCUCACUGGUCCGGUACUGACGCUGAGGUGCGAAAGCGUGGGGAGCAAACAGG